GCCUUAAUUCACUAUUCAUCAUUGACAAAGAUUCUGGCUCCCUGCGUUUUUUCUCAAAGAAACACAAAUAAAAUCUAUGACUGGUCAGCAGGCUGAUUGGCAAACUAUAGCUAUGAGCCAGGCAUACUGUUCCCGUGUCUUUCCCACAAAGCAAACACAAGUUAUUAGGCUACCGUAAAUCCCCCUCUAUGGGCUCCUUUGUUUGAAACCACAACUCUAGGCCUUACAGCCAUUUAGCCAAUGGGGAAAAAUGGAUAUGGCAGAGAGUACACACAAACAUAGUGAUAUGGACAGAAGACAAGGAAACACUGGGUAGAAGACGGUGGUUCCCCAGCAAAGGCCCCAACUCUCAAGCCUGAAGACCCACAGUUCUAAAUGGGGACAACAACAAUAGUAUACUCCAGAAUUCAGACUAGAAGCUCUGUAAGAGCAAGGAUGUUGGGUAUUUUUGCUCACGUUUCCCAGUGCUUUAACAGAAUGCCUGGCAUGAGUAAGUCCUCCAUAAACAUCUGUGGAAUAAAUCAGUAGUAGAGAUUAAGAAAUGGCCUCAAAGAAGGACACAGACAAACAUGGUCCUGGUUCUAGAGGAAGCUAAAUGUGUUCACUUUUCCUGUGAGCUUUACACAGGAGUUUCUGCAACAUAAAAGAGAUCACAAGGCCAGUACCGAUGAAGCCCUUGAUCCUGUGCUUGUUACCUGGGAAAGACUGACAGUAAUACCUUAAAAAUCAUUGUCUCUGUGACUUAGGAGAAACAGGACAAAUUAUCCUAGCAUGAAAUAUAGCCCAAGAAUAUUGUGGGAAUAACGCAGAUUGAUUUUUUUUCUCUUUUCUGAAUUCACAUCUGUAUCCCUCUUUCAGAUAUUUAUUGACUGCUCAGUUCAGUCCCUUUUCAUAUAGAGAAUGAGGGUAUAUUUCAUUUGUUCAAAACUACAAAAAUAAUCAUACCUCUUAUCUUUCAAAUAAAAAUCAACUUUGCUCUCAACAUGUUUGAUGUCUGGAACAUAUCAAUUAAUAUCUUCACUUCAGAGAUUCAUUACAUAAAAUGUUGGAAUCUAUGCUAUAGCAUUACCAUAAAGAGUUGGAUUAAAUAGGAAAAUGAACAGAUACACCAAAAGGAAAGUGGGCAAGACAUAAACGUCAGAGGUGUUUGAACUGGAGCAACUGCAUCUUCAACAGGAGCCGGGUAAAAUAAGGCUGAGACCUUCUGGGCUGCAUUCCCAGACUUAGAAUUCCUAAAACAUUCUAAGUCACAGGGUGAGAGAGG
rnacentral:lncRNA from 1 species